rnacentral:rRNA from 1 species
CUAUCUUGAAGUGGGGGAUAACUUGGGGAAACUCAAGCUAAUACCGCAUAUUACUUUUUGUUUUUACAAAAAGGAAAUUUGUCUUUCCACUUAAGCGACCCGAAGGGUCGUUUAAGUGGAAAGAUGAAGCUUUAAGGUGAGCCUACGUUGGAUUAGCUAGUAGGUGAGGUAAAGGCUCACCUAGGCGACGAUCCAUAGCUGUUCUGAGAGGAAGAUCAGCCACACUGGGACUGAGACACGGCCCAG